UGACUAUUUUUGUGGACUUCCAGUGACUGUAGGUCCCUAUACUGAAACAUAGACAUAGCCACAAACUGUGUUCAAGACUUCUGGUAUUAAUAUUUGGUGUAUUUCCUUCUUUCACCGAGGGAAGAAGCUCCCUGCUAGCGCCCAUGCUCAUAGAUCUAUGUGAUUCAAACUCAAAAUUCUAAAAUUUUGGUGUGGAUGCUUAGAAAUAUUCCUUACUUAUUGUAUGUUCAAUUUACAUAUACUAGCCCAACAAAAUUACAAAAAAUUAAAUUAACUUACUGUAAACAUAAUACCCUACAGUGAGGUCACAUUCGAGUUUUUAGGGACUGUAGGUCCCUAUACUGAAACAUAGACAUAGCCACAAACUGUGUUCAAGACUUCUGGUAUUAAUAUUUGGUGUAUUUCCUUCUUUCACCGAGGGAAGAAGCUCCCUGCUAGCGCCCAUGCUCAUAGAUCUAUGUGAUUCAAACUCAAAAUUCUAAAAUUUUGGUGUGGAUGCUUAGAAAUAUUCCUUACUUAUUGUAUGUUCAAUUUACAUAUACUAGCCCAACAAAAUUACAAAAAAUUAAAUUAACUUACUGUAAACAUAAUACCCUACAGUGAGGUCACAUUC